UACAUUAAAGGCGGUGGGGAUCACCCUACACACACACCCCCAUUCACACAUGCCAGACACCAGAGAAAAUGGGGGCAGCAGCAAACAUGUAAAGGCACAGCAGCAGCAGCAACAGGUAUCCUGGAGCCGAAGCCCUCAGGGCCUUGCCUGUCCGAGAUCUGCCCACCUGUGCCUUCCGGUCUAGUGAGCCCGACUCCUGAAGCUCAAUUGCCGCCUGCUGCCUCCCUGACAUGGUCACCGGCUGGGAUCAGAAUGUGGCCUGUCGGGCCCUUCUUCUGCUGCCACCGAAGGAAACCGCUGUGCUGUGCUGAGUCAUCUUGUUGCCUCUCUUCUAGGUCCACUACAUCCUUCAGGAGGUGGUGAUGGGCGGGAUGGUGUUGGAAACAAACAUGAAUGAAAUUGUGGCUCAAAUUGAAGCUCAGAACAGGCUGGAGAAGUCGGAGGGCGGCCUGUCAGCAGCCCCCGCUAGGGCCGUGUCUGCUGUGAAGAACAUCAACCUUCCUGAGAUCCCGAGGAACAUCAACAUCGGCGAUCUCAACAUCAAAGUUCCCAACCUGUCCCAGUUCGUGUGAAGGUGGAGGACUGGGCUGAACCGGGGUCCUUAGGAUGAGCAAAGCAGUCAAGUCCAGAACCGGAGCCCUGCCGAGCCUUCCGAGUCGCACCUCGGACACUGAGCCUUUCACAGAGUGGGAAGGGAGUCGGAGGCACGCUGCUCGGCCAUCCUGCUGCUCUCGGAUUUGCGUGGCCGUGGUAGACACCAGCGCACUAAGCCACUGCUCCUUUGCCUCCCACACACAGCUGCCCUCAGGUUGGGGACUGUGGAAUAGGCCGCUUGCUUCCCAGGGCCCCACCACUGGGACUGAACACAUCUGACUUCCUCCCUAGCACCUAGGGCUUCCGCGAUUCUGUAUCCCUUACUGGGCAAGAGACCAGGAAGAGGCCAGCCUUUCAGAUGUCAGCUGUGGCUGGGGAAGGCAGGGGUAUGCUGGCUCUGCGGGGGCCUCUCCUCCUAGAAUCCCUUUGUAGAACCCACCCUUUGGGGCGGCAUUGCAGCAGAGCAUCCCCCCCCCCCCCGCCCUCCUCCAUAUCCCCAGUGUGCUGGACACAAUUGAAACCACACUGUGGGUGUAUGUCACCACCCCUGCCAUAGGGAGGGCACCCCUACACACACACACACACACACACACACACACACACACACACACACACACACACACACACACCCUAAAGCCCUCUUCUGGAUGAGAGACCGCUGUCUGUAGAAUAUGAAAGCUGGAUCCUCCCAGAGUUAUGAUUCAUCUCGAGUUUAAAAUACACUGUCCUGGAAACAGAAGGUUCAGUGGCUGUGUUCUGAAUGAUGAACCAUUUCCCCUUGCUCAGAAACCCACUGACCAGUCUCAGAUUCUAGAGCUGUGUGGGCGGAGCCUGCAGCACGCUGGCCUUAGUGCCGGGUGUUCUCCAGUCUGCAUCUGCAGUGAGCACACUGGCUCCUUUGGGCAACAUUCUCCAAUACUUUGGAAACAUGUAAAUGUUAACACGU